GGUACCGUCAAAUACUACGGGUAUUAACCGUCGUACAUUUCUUCCCUAUUGACAGAGUUUUACGACUCGAAAGCCUUCAUCACUCACGCGGCGUCGCUGCAUCAGGGUUGCCCCCAUUGUGCAAAAUUCCUCA
rnacentral:rRNA from 1 species